UUGGAUCCACACCAGGCAUAACAUUAAUUUCAAACUGCACUUCUCUUUCCGGAGGUAAUCCUGGCAAUUCAUCAAGAAAUAUAUCCGAAAAGUCACAUACCGUAGGGAUGUCCCUCAAUGCUAGACUACCCACUUGGGUGUCUAUCACAUGUACCAAGUACGCCUCACACCCCUUCCUAAUCAUUUUUCUGGCCAGUACAGCUGAAAUAAUGUUUGACGGCAAUAACUGCCUCUCCCCAUGUAUUACUACAUCGCCAUACUAAGGAAGACCAAAAGUAACUGUCUUCAGUCUACAAUCAAUCAUUGCAUGAUGCCUGGCUAACCAAUCCAUGUCCAAGAUGAUAUCAUACUCUCUGAAGGGCAUUUCAAUCAAGUCUGACAGGAAAACAUGUCCUUGGAUCACCAAAGGACAGUCUCUAUAAAUUCUGUUGACCCGGACCUCUUGUCCUAACGGACUAGUUACUAGCACUUCAAAACCCAUUUGCACACAUGGAACAGCAAGUGAACUGACUAUGCUAGCACUAACAUAUGAAUGGGUUGAACCCGGAUCAAACAAUACAAAUACUUCUUGAUCAGAGAUAGAGAAUGUACCAGCUACCACAUCAGAAGUCUCAGCCUCUUCUCGCUGUCUCAUUGUGUAGACUCUGGCUGAAGCACUUCCUUGUGCUGACUGACCAACAGUGCCCUGACUGCCAGAUGCAGUGCCUCUACCUCUGCCAACUGACUGUGAACCU
rnacentral:misc_RNA from 1 species